CCUACGGGAGGCAGCAGUGGGGAAUAUUGCACAAUGGGGGAAACCCUGAUGCAGCCAUGCCGCGUGUAUGAAGAAGGCCUUCGGGUUGUAAAGUACUUUCAGCGGGGAGGAAGGUGUUGUGGUUAAUAACCUCAGCAAUUGACGUUACCCGCAGAAGAAGCACCGGCUAACUCCGUGCCAGCAGCCGCGGUAAUAAUCUCUAGAGG
rnacentral:rRNA from 1 species